rnacentral:rRNA from 1 species
GACGAACGCUGGCGGCGUGCCUAAUACAUGCAAGUAGAACGCUGAAGAGAGGAGCUUGCUCUUCUUGGAUGAGUUGCGAACGGGUGAGUAACGCGUAGGUAACCUGCCUUGUAGCGGGGGAUAACUAUUGGAAACGAUAGCUAAUACCGCAUAACAAUGGAUGACACAUGUCAUUUAUUUGAAAGGGGCAAUUGCUCCACUACAAGAUGGACCUGCGUUGUAUUAGCUAGUAGGUGAGGUAAUGGCUCACCUAGGCGACGAUACAUAGCCGACCUGAGAGGGUGAUCGGCCACACUGGGAAUGAGACACGGCCCAGACUCCUACCGGAGGCAGCAGUAGGGAAUCUUCGGCAAUGGGGGCAACCCUGACCGAGCAACGCCGCGUGAGUGGAGAAGGGUUUCGGAUCGUAAAGCUCUGUUGUAAGUCAAGAACGGGUGUGAGGGUGGAAAGUUCACGCUGUGACGGUAGCUUACCAGAAAGCGACGGCUAACUACGUG